ensembl:lncRNA
AUUUUUAUUUAUGCAUUUGUAUAUGUUAAUAUUUAUACAGUUUUUUUUUUUUUUUGAGCAACUGGGAUGGUGCCCCCCUGGGAGUUGGAGCCCUAUGCAAACUGCGUACUCUGCAUAUAGAAAGCGGCGAUACUGAAAGCUUGCAUUUGGAUCUAUAAUCGUUGUCACAUCAAGUCCUCAUUACAGAAGACUUCACCUAUCACAGUUCCGGCAGCUUUAUAAAACACCAGAUCACCAUGGAUCCAGCAUCACGCCUCAUUCGCCUCUGUCAAGGUGGGGCCAAGCAGACGAAUAAUGUGAAACGAUGAGAGACAGCUGAUGACAACGAAAUCAGAUUAGCAGAAAAACAAGUACAAGGUACAUACCACAGGAGCACCUAAAGCCACCCAGUGCCUGCAGUCAGACCCCGGUGGUGACAGAGUCAGCUGUCCUGUCUUUUUUGCCCUUCUCUGUCGCCAUUAAUUUCCCACAAAGGCCCCCAGUGACAGUUCCCUCAUGGUGGCCAUACUUGGAAAGAAGGUGCAUGACAGACACGGGGAGAAUGGGAUACACAAUUUGGGCUCAUGAAAACAGCACUGAGGGACCACAGAGAGGGAGAGGGAAAAAAGGAAAACCUUUGCACUUCCUUGCAAUUAUUCUGUUAAAUCAUGGCUUCUUAUACAUUUUAAAUGCAGUAAAAAUAAAAAAGUAAAAAUAUAAACACUACCUACAAUAAAUUCAAUGCAUCCUUGCUAAAUAAAAUUAUUAAUUUCCUUGAAUUUUUUUUUGCCAUCCCCAUAUUUGGAACAGUAGUGUAGUUAUUUAAAAAUAUGUAAAUAUACAGAGGUGUAAUAUUUGAGUGACUGUCUUGUCAGUAAAGCUGUGUGUGCAAUAUAAUGUGCCACAAAAACUGCAGUGUAUAAUUUUGUCAUUCUGGAAAAGUUUACCUGUUUUGGAAACGGCUAAGCCACUGUCAGACUACUGAAAAUGUAGUCACAUUAGUUGCACUGCUAAUUUUAGUUAGUUCUCAACAUUGAAAUGCAUCAUGCAACAAUUUGACAAUUACAUUUCUGCAGUGAUUGUGUGGUUUAAUAAUCAAUUAUAAUAAUUAUAAAAUACUUGGAAUGUACUAUGCAUUUAUUAUUUUAUAUAAAAACAAUCCUUGACAUUUUCAGUUUCAGUCCACCAGUUCCACAAUUUGUUUUCCUCCAGUUUCAUAUCAUACAUUAUAUUUUAAGAAAUCACUUUAAAUUAUACCAAAAUUUGAUUCAG